rnacentral:ncRNA from 1 species
UUUGAAAUUGUCAAAAAUAAUGUGUCCAUUUUCCACUUUCAAACUGACAUCCAGAAAUUUACCUGCUAACAAUGACGAUGGAUCGAUUAAUUUUCUGGAUGUCAGUUUGAAAGUGGAAAAUGGACACAUUAAUUUUGACAAUU